GAUGAACGCUAGCGGGAGGCUUAACACAUGCAAGUCGAGGGGCAUCACGAGGUAGCAAUACUUUGGUGGCGACCGGCGCACGGGUGAGUAACACGUAUGCAACCUACCCUGUACAGGGGGAUAACCCGGAGAAAUUCGGACUAAUAUCCCAUGAUUAUAUUGAGGGGCAUCCUUUAAUAUUUAAAGCUCAGGCGGUACGGGAUGGGCAUGCGGAACAUUUAGCUAGUUGGUAGGGUAACGGCCUACCAAGGCUACGAUGUUUAGGGGACCUGAGAGGGUUAUCCCCCACACUGGUACUGAGACACGGACCAGACUCCUACGGGUGGCAG
rnacentral:rRNA from 1 species